UACGUAGGGGGCAAGCGUUGUCCGGAUUCAUUGGGCGUAAAGAGCGCGUAGGCGGCUCGGUAAGCCGGAUGUGAAACCUCCAAGCUCAACUUGGAGCGGCCAUUCGGAACUGCUGUGGCUAGAGUCUGGUAGGGGAACACGGAAUACCUGGUGUAGCGGUGAAAUGCUUAGAUAUCAGGUGGAACACCAGUGGCGAAGGCGGUGUUCUGGGCCAGUACUGACGCUGAGGCGCGAAAGCGUGGGGAGCGAACAGG
rnacentral:rRNA from 1 species